GGGAUGGGGAGUGUAUCCGUCAUCAGCGGUCCAGCUCUCUGAAGGAGCAAUUAGCGCAGUAACAGGCCUCCCGAUCAGCCGAUAAUGGCCCUGUGCUGUCUGGAGAGCUCAGCCCACGGCAGCCCGUGAUUUGACAGCGCAGGAUACUGAUUGAAUUAGGAGGCCAUUUGCUCCAUGUUCCGGUAGAGGGUUACUGUGCUACAGGAGGGUGUUUGAUCUCUGAUGCGGUCAAUACCGUCUCAGUGCCUUACACUAUGAACAUAGGGGACCUGCUGACAGCACUCAGAUAUGUUUGGUGAACUGUUCUUGGGUAAAUAUAUGUCAAUUUCCAUGUUGAUUGGCUACAAGAUUUGGAAACUGCUUUGAUUCAAUGAAUUAGAAAAUACUUAAUUCUGUGAAUUUUUGCUUGAUGGACAAAAUCUUACAACUACAAUGUGUUUGUUUGAGGAGCAGGUGCACUGAAGACUUAAACUCCCAUUAGAUCAAUCCCAGGGGAUUCAGAUCUGUGAUCAGUUAUUGCUUUUGGCUCCUCCUCUGCUGUAAGGGGUUGAAACGCUCAAGGCAGAAACACACCAACUUGGACUUCAGGGCUGGAAGCACAGGAGCCCACUUUAUGAUCAGCUCCUGCUCCAACAACACCAAGAAUGGGUCGAGGUGAGAACCUGGGACACCUGGCUCAACCUGGUCGCAGGCAGAAGACACAGCAGCAGGAGCCUCUGGACGUGGACCCCUUGUUCAUCCGCUUCCUCCGGACAUUCAAGGAAGUCCUCAAAUUUGUCCUCUUCAGCUACACGGUGCUGUUUGGUGCUUUGCUCCUCGCCAGAUGGACCACUUACUUUAUGGUGGGAAAGUAAAAAAAAAGAAACUGUUGAAGAAUGAGCCUGUUCUCGGACUCUGAGCUCAUUAAUGAAGUUGAUCAGGCAGACCUUCUCUGGAUUUGUGGUCUAUGCACUUCCUAUAAAUUAUUAAUGCUGGAGUGAUCAUUAUUGCUUCCUAAUUUGAUUCACACUCUGCAGUAGUGCUCAUGGCUUAUGUGCUUUUUUUUUAAUAAUCCAAACAGGAUUUGUAGGCAUAUAGAGCAACUCUACAGUGAAACUUAGACAAGCCAAUUUGCAUCAAAUGUGUCUGUUUACAGUGCUUAAAUGUGCAAUCUAGAACCUGUGAUAUCUGCGGAGUUGCAAAAUGACCACAGUAAAGCUGUAUAAAACAUGUCUGUGUGGCCUACAAAAACAGUAUUGUGUAUUCUUGAUUGAUAAGCUUGAAAUCUGCGUUUUUCCUUUGGAAGCACAUAUAAAAAUUUACAAAAAUGUUAAUGUAAAUAAGGAAUAUAAGCGGUGGCAAUGUCA